GAUGAACGCUGGCGGCGUGCCUAAUACAUGCAAGUCGAGCGAACAGAUAAGGAGCUUGCUCCUUUGACGUUAGCGGCGGACGGGUGAGUAACACGUGGGUAACCUACCUAUAAGACUGGGAUAACUUCGGGAAACCGGAGCUAAUACCGGAUAACAUUUGGAACCGCAUGGUUCUAAAGUGAAAGAUGGUUUUGCUAUCACUUAUAGAUGGACCCGCGCCGUAUUAGCUAGUUGGUAAGGUAACGGCUUACCAAGGCAACGAUACGUAGCCGACCUGAGAGGGUGAUCGGCCACACUGGAACUGAGACACGGUCCAGACUCCUACGGGAGGCAGCAGUAGGGAAUCUUCCGCAAUGGGCGAAAGCCUGACGGAGCAACGCCGCGUGAGUGAUGAAGGGUUUCGGCUCGAAAAACUCUGUUAUUAGGGAAGAACAAACGUGUAAGUAACUGUGCACGUCUUGACGGUACCUAAUCAGAAAGCCACGGCUAACUACGUG
rnacentral:rRNA from 1 species